AGCCUCCUCUUGGUCUAGGCCACAAUUUUCUGGGUAUUAAGCAGCGCUAAUUUCGACGGAGGAUUUUUAUUAGGAGUCUUUAAUAUUUGAUUAUUUAUGAUGCUGCCUAGGGAUCGCUAAUUGGAUAUAUUCUUCUAUUUUAUGUAUCAAGCUUUGCGAUACUUGUGCUUGUGACUCACUUCGAUUUUAUAGUUUUUUAAUCAAAUAAUUUUCCCCACGGAAAACAGCUGCAUAAUCAUGUAUAGAGUUUUUUUGUAAAAAUUAUUUUAAAUCAAUUUAACAAUCUCUUAUUCAUAGGCCGUUUACAACGAAAUUAGAUAAAUACCGCAAUAAUACAUUAUGCGGUCGCGGGGCCCGCGUUUACUUAAAUUAAUUGCACAACUUUCGGCAGCGUGUUUAGCGGUCCCAGCAAAAUGUCCAAUAAAAUAUUCAUUUAGCCCAAAUAGGCGCCAGAGUUACUGCCAGCCAUACCUGUUCGCAUCCCCCAGCCAGAAUUCCACACAAAUAAUUUCUUGAUGUGACUUUAUGAAAAGUUUCGGGGCCCGAAACAAAAAUGCGAAAAGCCGCUACCCUCGAGCCAGAACCAAAGACAUCGAAGAAGGAAAAGUGGUGGAAAUGAGUAACGAUGACUGGCUACGGUUUAUAGUCGAAUAGCACAUCAGCCGCAACACAGUUUGACCGCAAGUCCUUUGCCCGAAAUUGUCCUCGUACGGGUGUAUCUUUGUGUGUACAAAGUAUUGGUCGUGAUCGAUAAAUGUGUGUUCACUGAGCGGAAAUAACAGGCACCCAGAGCAAGUUAAGAGUUUGGACAAGCUACCUUGUUUCGAAUAAUCCAUAAUGAUGGUGUAUAACGUGAUACCUUUAAAGUUCUUACUUACGUCGGGAUUCAAACAACAAAAUAUAUAUUUAAUUUUUAUUUAAAAAGUUGUAAGUAUCAGGUAUCAUUACGUUGGUGUUUUUACGAAAUUGAAAAAAUGGCGUUCGCCUGAAUUUCCUGGACUUACUGGAGGGCUUUUAGGAUUUUCAGUUGUGAUUUAAUUACUUUGGGGAUUAUGGGGAUUUCGUGUUUAGCAUUUGAUUUAAUUGGAUAUCAAUUACGCAGAGCGUGUUAAAAACCCCAAAUGCAAACACAACGGUAGAGCACACAGUGCUGGCAGUUGAGAGGCGAAUUGAGUGUCAAAUACAUUCUGGCAUAGCCAGUGCCAUAAUUUAUG